AUGGCUACACCUUUAUCCAAAGCGGAAAUUAAAGAGGCCUUUCUCCAAUUGAACCGUCAAACAAGCCCACGUCCCAAUGGUUUCGGACCAGCCUACUAUCAGAAAGUCUUGUCUCUCCUAAAACCAAUCAUCCUACCCACUCUCGAACUUCUUUCACUUGCAGGCCAGACGAAACGCUUGAACCAAGCACAUGUUGUUCUAGCCAAAAAAGACUCCGCUGCUAUGCCCGACUCAUAUAGGCCCAUUUCUCUUCAGCACUGUCGGAUCAAAGCGGCCACUAAGGUUCUAACAACUAGGCUCAAACCACUAAUGCCCUACAUCAGUAUUGUGGUCCUUCCUAACAGAAUUCUCCUUCAAAGAGGAAUGUCGAAACAAUGUUACUCUUGGAUCCAUAUCCUAUCCGCUUGUAAAACCGCAAUAAUGCUUAAUGGUGUUCCGGGAGACUGGAUCAACUACAAAAAUGGUUUGCACCUAGGACACCCACUUCCCCCUUGUCUCUUUAUCAUAGUGGCAGACUUACUACAGUAA
rnacentral:rRNA from 1 species